rnacentral:rRNA from 1 species
UGAGUCUCCUGAAGGAACGUUGAAGACGACGACGUUGAUAGGUCGGGUGUGUAAGCGCAGCGAUGCGUUGAGCUAACCGAUACUAAUGAACCGUGAGGCUUAACCUUACAACGCCGAAGGUGUUU